CCUAGUAUAUUUUAUAUUUUGCCUAUUUUGGAUUCAUUUGGAUUUUGUUGGCUGUUUUGUGUGUAUUUUUUAAAACUUUUGUUUGUCAUUUGUAAAUUUUAUAAAUUUACCACAAUGCAAAGUGAUUAUUUAAGGAAAUUAUUAUUGGAAAAUCCGCAGAUGUUUUAGAAAGAUAUUCAUUGAAGCUGAAAAUAAUUGGAGAUUUAAUUAGAUCCAUAUACAAUUCAGUCAUCAGAAUUGGAUUUUACAGUGCAUUCCAUCAAUUACUGUUAUAAUGCUAUUAUAGAUAGACUGGUAGAGUCUCACAGUUACUACUUUAAGCAGCAGAUGAAAGCAUACAAAAGCCUUCAGGCACAUAAAAGCCUUCACAACUGGAUUUGUUUUGAAACAUUUGAUGUUUUGAUGAUUUCUAUAUUAUUGUUGGAAAGUUGAAGCCAGUUCCAAUGGCACAGCAAAUGCACAUUGUAUGUGUAUUGCCGAUAAUAGUGAAGUUUGCAGCCAUAUUGCAGCAAUCUUAUUUGCAGCUGAGUAUGCCCACAGCAAGACAGAAGAAGAAGAACCCAAUGCAUGUACAGAUGUUACAGCUAUGUACAUUCUCUGGUGAAAAACUAAUGAGUUUUCAAGCUGUUCGGUCAGAGUGAUUGUUGCGCUCUCUAAAUGAACUGAAAUAUAAGACAGCUUUGGCUUCAUGUUGCAGUGAUAUGAAAAUGGUUAGUCAUUUUUAAUUAUAAUGUACUUCUUCAUCAUGAGUAUUUAUGUAUAGGGCUUUUCAUUCACAGUCAUUUGUUUCGAGCUUCUGUCAUGUGUCACAUAAUAUUAAUAUUAUAUCUAUGUCAUACGUUAUUGGUAUAUACCAAUGAUACACACCAAAGACAUAUGGCGUAGAUAUAUUAAUAUUAUGUGACACAUGACAGAUGCUCGAAACAAAUGACAGUCGAUAAAAAGCCCUAUUAGUCUUUUAAGUGUGUAUUAUCAGAUAUCACAUGUAAAUUGUUUUUAUCAUUUUAAUUUGGUCAUUACAGUCCCUUAAUCAAAAAAUAUAUUUUUCAGGUGUCUGUGGAUCUUUUUGUAUGCAAAAAUUUGUAAUAAUUAUUUGAAAUCAUUUUGAGGAUUAUAAGAGUAUGGAAAUAUAUGUGAGAACACAGACUAUUAUAGUUUUGUCCUAUUUUUUAUCAUUCAAUUGUCUUCUUUAAAAUUUAUAAAUAUAAAGCAGAUAGUUUUCAUUGCAAUUCAAUAUAUUGGGUCUUAUUUGUAUGUAUUCAUUUUUGACUAAAGGCUGUAUGACACUAUACAUUUUCUUGUAUCAUUUCUAAUAUCGUUUCUGAUAUGUCAAAAAAAUGCAUAGUGUCAUACACAGAUACAAGAAACGAUACAAGAAUUUGAGUCAGACACAGAUUCUUGUACAAGAACUGCGCCAAUUUCUGCGCAAAGAGCAAAAACGUAAAACCUGCUGGUAAAACAUCUAAAAUGUCAUAAUUACUUACUCAUAAUGGCGGCUGAAAUGAAAAUGGGAUCAUGUAUUGAUGAGUUUAUUUGUGUUUUUGUAGGUAUUAUUUAUAAAUCUUAUAUUGAUACUUAAUAUACUGUUUGGUAUGGACUACUGUUCUACUAAUAACCAUAUAUUUAGCUCCUAGUAAAUUUCAAACUAUAAAUUUAGGUUUCAUGGUGCAUAAUUUUUUACAAAAUACAAUAGCUCCUAAUUUGGAUCAAAUUGAAGAUAAUUCUAAUGCAAAUAUUUUAGCACAAAUUCAAAACAAAAUAAAAACACAAAUAAUCAACCUCAAACAGUCAACGUAAAAUUCUGGUUAACAUUAAAAUGUUAAUUAAAAGUUUAUAAAUUUUAUAAAAUCCUUAAAAUCAGCUGUAGAUGCAGUACUACCAUAACGUGACAUGGGGUGACAAACAAAAUAUCGACCAAUCACGUGCCGAAUUUCUUACAAUUUUCGAUACAAGAACUUGCAUAGUGUCAUACAGGGCACAAAGGUACGUACAAGAAACGAUACAAGAAAAUGUAUACAAGAAACGAUAUCAGAAACGAUAUAUAUAGAAAGGUACGAUUCCGAUAACGACUGCAGACAGCAACUGCAAACAUCAGUUGCAGUUCUCGGCGUUAUGGACGUUACUACUUUGCACUAUUUAUCUGUAUAUGAGACUGAUUCCGACAUCUGACUGCAACUGCUGUCCGGCAGAACGUCAGUUGCUAAUAAUUAUGCAAAUUAUUAGUGCAAAAUAAUGACGUCUGUCAUGGUGACAACUGUAACUGCCAUCUGCAGUCGUUGUCGGAAUGGUACCUUUAAAGUGUGUGGUAUAAUUAUAAUAAUUAUAUAUAUUAUAUAUGUCGGUCUUGACGGUCCAGUUAGCUGGGGCUCAGUCGAUCGACAAGUUUAGUGGAUUUGCGAUUUGCGGUCGCUGGUUCGAGCCUCAGCUAGGUCAUGAAAUUUAUAAAAAGGCCAACGCCGUAGUAUAAAACUCAAUAGAGUCUACGGCUUGGUCUGGAAUAAACUGGCGUCUGAUCGGCCUAUGGAGGAGCGGUACUGGAAGGGAUAAGGGCUUCCGGCUUGGUGAUACUCCUCCAUAGAUCCCUACCGAAGGGCGUUGACGCCUAAGAACGGUGUAUACAUACAUAUAUAUUAUAUAUAACUUAAAUGGUUUAAACUUAAGUUUGUUAUUACAUUGUGACUUAAAUGUUUAAUUUGUUAAUAAAUGAUUAUUAGUUUA